rnacentral:rRNA from 1 species
CCUACGUGUGGCAGCAGUGGGGAAUAUUGCACAAUGGGGGAAAGCCUGAUGCAGCGACGCCGCGUGAGUGCUGAAGGCCUUCGGGUCGUAAAGCUCUAUCCUCAAGGAAGAUAAUGACGGUACUUGAGGAAGAAGCCCCGGCUAACUACGUGCCAGCAGCCGCGGUAAUACGUAGGGGGCUAGCGUUAUCCGGAAUUACUGGGGGAAAAGGGUGCGUAGGGGGGUUCUUAAGUCAGAGGUGAAAGGCUACGGCCCAACCUUAGUACGCCUUUGAAACUGGGAAACGUGAGUGCAGGAGAGGAGAGUGGAAUUCCUAGUGUAGCGGUGAAAUGCGUAGAUAUUAGGAGGAACACCAGUGGCGAAGGCGGCUCUCUGGACUGUAACUGACACUGAGGCACGAAAGCGUGGGGAGCAAACAGGAUUAGAUACCCGAGUAGUC